ACGCUGUGGUUAUCCUGCCUUCUGUUGGCACCACGACACUGUAAAUGCGGAUUCGGCUGCCGGUGACGCAAGGCCUCCUGGGAUUGCAGCGCGGUGACCGCAGGCCCGACAGUUGCCCUGACCGGCCUCUGAAACAGGCCCGGGGCUUUCUGGACGGAUGAGAAGUCUAAAAAUUUCCCUUUUCAUUUCCUCUCUUGUGUGACUUUGUCAUUUUUUUUUUCUUUUCUCUAAACCGGUGAUUGAAAAGGGAAUUUUGCCCGUGCUCUGAAGGAGUUCAUCUUGACUUAGUAGCUUCCCUCCCACUCCUCAAAAAUCCCACCCUGAAAACCCCAAGCUAAAAAAAUAAAAAAUAAAAAAAUAAAAAAAAAAAAAGCA
rnacentral:lncRNA from 12 species